rnacentral:rRNA from 1 species
GACGAACGCUGGCGGCGUGCCUAAUACAUGCAAGUCGAACGGGAGCGACCGGUGCUUGCACUGGUCAAUCUAGUGGCGAACGGGUGAGUAACACGUGGGUAACCUGCCCAUCAGAGGGGGAUAACAUCCGGAAACGGAUGCUAAAACCGCAUAGGUCUUCGAACCGCAUGGUUUGAAGAGGAAAAGAGGCGCAAGCUUCUGCUGAUGGAUGGACCCGCGGUGCAUUAGCUAGUUGGUGAGGUAACGGCUCACCAAGGCCGUGAUGCAUAGCCGACCUGAGAGGGUGAUCGGCCACAUUGGGACUGAGACACGGCCCAAACUCCUACGGGAGGCAGCAGUAGGGAAUCUUCUGCAAAGGACGCAAGUCUGACGGAGCAACGCCGCGUGAGUGAAGAAGGUGUUCGGAUCGUAAAACUCUGUUGUUAGAGAAGAACAAGUGCUAGAGUAACUGUUAGCGCCUUGACGGUAUCUAACCAGAAAGCCACGGCUAACUACGUG